rnacentral:rRNA from 1 species
CAGUAGCCGCGGUAAUACGAAGGGUGCAAGCGUUACUCGGAAUUACUGGGCGUAAAGCGUGCGUAGGUGGUCGUUUAAGUCUGUUGUGAAAGCCCUGGGCUCAACCUGGGAACUGCAGUGGAAACUGGACGACUAGAGUGUGGUAGAGGGUAGCGGAAUUCCUGGUGUAGCAGUGAAAUGCGUAGAGAUCAGGAGGAACAUCCAUGGCGAAGGCAGCUACCUGGACCAACACUGACACUGAGGCACGAAAGCGUGGGGAGCAAACAGGAUUAGAUACCCGUGUAGUCCCUGUCUCUUAUAC